GGGUUGUGAGGUUAAGCGACUAAGCGUACACGGUGGAUGCCCUGGCAGUCAGAGGCGAUGAAGGACGUGCUAAUCUGCGAAAAGCGCCGGCGAGGUGAUAUGAACCCUUGACCCGGCGAUGUCCGAAUGGGGAAACCCAGUGCAAUCCGUUGCACUAUCGUUAACUGAAUACAUAGGUUAACGAGGCGAACCGGGGGAACUGAAACAUCUAAGUACCCCGAGGAAAAGAAAUCAACCGAGAUUCCCCCAGUAGCGGCGAGCGAACGGGGAGCAGCCCGGAGUCUGAAUCAGCUUGUGUGUUAGUGGAACGGUCUGGAAAGUCCGACGGUACAGGGUGAUAGUCCCGUACACGAAAAUGCACAUGCUGUGAACUCGAAGAGUAGGGCGGGACACGUGGUAUCCUGUCUGAAUAUGGGGGGACCAUCCUCCAAGGCUAAAUACUCCUGACUGACCGAUAGUGAACCAGUACCGUGAGGGAAAGGCGAAAAGAACCCCGGCGAGGGGAGUGAAAAAGAACCUGAAACCGUGUACGUACAAGCAGUGGGAGCCUCUUUAUGGGGUGACUGCGUACCUUUUGUAUAAUGGGUCAGCGACUUAUAUUCUGUAGCAAGGUUAACCGUAUAGGGGAGCCGAAGGGAAACCGAGUCUUAACUGGGCGUUAAGUUGCAGGGUAUAGACCCGAAACCCGGUGAUCUAGCCAUGGGCAGGUUGAAGGUUGGGUAACACUAACUGGAGGACCGAACCGACUAAUGUUGAAAAAUUAGCGGAUGACCUGUGGCUGGGGGUGAAAGGCCAAUCAAACCGGGAGAUAGCUGGUUCUCCCCGAAAGCUAUUUAGGUAGCGCCUCGUGAACUCAUCUUCGGGGGUAGAGCACUGUUUCGGCUAGGGGGCCAUCCCGGCUUACCAACCCGAUGCAAACUACGAAUACCGAAGAAUGUUAUCACGGGAGACACACGGCGGGUGCUAACGUCCGUCGUGAAGAGGGAAACAACCCAGACCGCCAGCUAAGGUCCCAAAGUCAUGGUUAAGUGGGAAACGAUGUGGGAAGGCACAGACAGCCAGGAUGUUGGCUUAGAAGCAGCCAUCAUUUAAAGAAAGCGUAAUAGCUCACUGGUCGAGUCGGCCUGCGCGGAAGAUGUAACGGGGCUAAACCAUGCACCGAAGCUGCGGCAGCGACACUAUGUGUUGUUGGGUAGGGGAGCGUUCUGUAAGCCGUUGAAGGUGUGCUGUGAGGCAUGCUGGAGGUAUCAGAAGUGCGAAUGCUGACAUAAGUAACGAUAAAGCGGGUGAAAAGCCCGCUCGCCGGAAGACCAAGGGUUCCUGUCCAACGUUAAUCGGGGCAGGGUGAGUCGACCCCUAAGGCGAGGCCGAAAGGCGUAGUCGAUGGGAAACAGGUUAAUAUUCCUGUACUUGGUGUUACUGCGAAGGGGGGACGGAGAAGGCUAUGUCAGCCGGGCGACGGUUGUCCCGGUUUAAGCAUGUAGGCGGAGGUUCCAGGUAAAUCCGGUACCUUAUUAACGCUGAGGUGUGAUGACGAGGCACUACGGUGCUGAAGUGAUAAAUGCCCUGCUUCCAGGAAAAGCCUCUAAGCAUCAGGUAACACGAAAUCGUACCCCAAACCGACACAGGUGGUCAGGUAGAGAAUACCAAGGCGCUUGAGAGAACUCGGGUGAAGGAACUAGGCAAAAUGGUGCCGUAACUUCGGGAGAAGGCACGCUGAUGUGUAGGUGAAGCCCCUGCGGGCGGAGCUGAAAUCAGUCGAAGAUACCAGCUGGCUGCAACUGUUUAUUAAAAACACAGCACUGUGCAAACACGAAAGUGGACGUAUACGGUGUGACGCCUGCCCGGUGCCGGAAGGUUAAUUGAUGGGGUUAGCGGCAACGCGAAGCUCUUGAUCGAAGCCCCGGUAAACGGCGGCCGUAACUAUAACGGUCCUAAGGUAGCGAAAUUCCUUGUCGGGUAAGUUCCGACCUGCACGAAUGGCGUAAUGAUGGCCAGGCUGUCUCCACCCGAGACUCAGUGAAAUUGAACUCGCUGUGAAGAUGCAGUGUACCCGCGGCAAGACGGAAAGACCCCGUGAACCUUUACUAUAGCUUGACACUGAACACUGGUCCUUGAUGUGUAGGAUAGGUGGGAGGCUUUGAAGCGUGGACGCCAGUCUGCGUGGAGCCAACCUUGAAAUACCACCCUUUAAUGGCUGGUGUUCUAACGUGGACCCGUAAUCCGGGUUGCGGACAGUGUCUGGUGGGUAGUUUGACUGGGGCGGUCUCCUCCCAAAGAGUAACGGAGGAGCACGAAGGUUGGCUAAUCCUGGUCGGACAUCAGGAGGUUAGUGCAAUGGCAUAAGCCAGCUUGACUGCGAGCGUGACGGCGCGAGCAGGUGCGAAAGCAGGUCAUAGUGAUCCGGUGGUUCUGAAUGGAAGGGCCAUCGCUCAACGGAUAAAAGGUACUCCGGGGAUAACAGGCUGAUACCGCCCAAGAGUUCAUAUCGACGGCGGUGUUUGGCACCUCGAUGUCGGCUCAUCACAUCCUGGGGCUGAAGUAGGUCCCAAGGGUAUGGCUGUUCGCCAUUUAAAGUGGUACGCGAGCUGGGUUUAGAACGUCGUGAGACAGUUCGGUCCCUAUCUGCCGUGGGCGCUGGAGAAUUGAGGGGGGCUGCUCCUAGUACGAGAGGACCGGAGUGGACGCAUCACUGGUGUUCGGGUUGUCAUGCCAAUGGCAUUGCCCGGUAGCUAAAUGCGGAAGAGAUAAGUGCUGAAAGCAUCUAAGCACGAAACUUGCCCCGAGAUGAGUUCUCCCUGAGACUUUAAGUCUCCUGAAGGAACGUUGAAGACGACGACGUUGAUAGGUCGGGUGUGUAAGCGCAGCGAUGCGUUGAGCUAACCGAUACUAAUGAACCGUGAGGCUUAACCUUACAACGCCGAAGGUGUUU
rnacentral:rRNA from 2 species